CACAGGCAACACCCAUAGAUGAAUAGAUA
rnacentral:piRNA from 1 species